UGAGUAACCUGCCCUGGACUUUGGGAUAACCCUCGGAAAUGGGGGCUAAUACCGGAUAUGACGGCUCACCGCAUGGUGUGGUUGUGGAAAGUUUUUCGGUCUGGGAUGGGCUCGCGGCCUAUCAGCUUGUUGGUGAGGUAAUGGCUCACCAAGGCGACGACGGGUAGCCGGCCUGAGAGGCGACCGGCCACACUGGGACUGAGACACGGCCCAGACCUCCGUACGGGAGGCA
rnacentral:rRNA from 1 species